GACGCUUUGGAGAAAAGGAAGAGGAGGAGUGAGGAGCCAUGGCGACUGUGGCUGCUGUUUGCUGCCGUCUAGGAAGGAAAACGUUGACGCCCAUCGUAACGGCUCCUGUCUGCCUCACAGAGCCCGGGAUUCACGCGGUGCUGUGGAGACUUUAUUCACAAUAUCAACAAGUAACCAGCAAUGAGGACCUGCCCAUUACAAUGGAAAAUCCUUAUAAGGAACCUCUUAAGAAGUGUGUAUUAUGUGGAAAACGUGUAGAUUAUAAGAAUGUACAGCUUUUGUCCCAGUUUAUUUCUCCAUUUACUGGAUGCAUUUAUGGAAGACACAUAACAGGUCUUUGUGGGAAGAAACAAAGAGAAAUUACAAAAGCAAUUAAAAGAGCUCAAAUAAUGGGGUUUAUGCCAGUUACAUACAAGGAUCCUGCAUAUCUUAAAGACCCUAAAGUUUGUAACAUCAAGUAUCGGGAGUGAAGGUUAUCAUCAAUAAACUUACUUUACAUUUCUGGUUUAGCCUGUUGAUAUGUUGGUUAGUAAACUGGCUCCACACCUGAAGAGCAAGACCAGAGAGGCAGACUACUCCAGAUUGCGCACUGCUAGCUGGACUAGGUUCAGGAAUGUCUGUGUAUUCCACCAUUAAGGUCAGGUUGUCUACCUCAUUGAGAUGAUGGCUGGUAUUACACCGACUUUUAGAAAUACGGCUAUUUUUCAAGGAGAUAACACAUGAAUGAAGAAAGUCACAAUCUGGAAGAAAAGUCCGUAAAGCUUGACAAAGAAAAAUGUUCUCCUGAGGGUCUUUUUGGACAACAGUCUUCUCUCCUAAGCAAAAUAAAAAGAAAAGUUCAACAUACAAUAUUUGUUCUACAAAGCUUUUGUAAUAUCUAUUUGAUAAUAAAAGACUUAAAACAAUUCUUUCAAACUAUCUAAAUUGAGAAAAAUGGUGUGUAUAACCCCUAAUUUUAGUUUAUAUGCACAAUAUUCUAAGAGAAAAUUAAAAGUCACAUAUUUUUAAUAAGGGAAUAGCAUAGCUCUAACAGUACCAUGUUCUUUGUUCAGGAGGAUUUAAAGGUAUUAAUAAAACAGUUAGUCCUAAGGUGGACAAAUGCAUCAUUUAGUGCAGCUGGCUCAUCCAUAGGUCACAUCAGUGAGAAUUUUUUUUAAAGCACAGAAGGUAGUAAUGUGUGAACUUUACUUACGUGCUGCUUGAAUCUGUGCUUGUUUUCUUUUUUUAAUUUCUUGUCUCAGUCUGUUUACAUCUGUUAGUAGUUUCUCUACUGCUUGCUCACUGUAUUCUACUUGUUUGCAUAUAUCCUGCAAAAUAAAAUGAGGGCAUAGAUCAA